rnacentral:rRNA from 1 species
GACAGAGGGUGCAAACGUUGUUCGGAAUUACUGGGCGUAAAGCGCGUGUAGGCGGCCCUGCAAGUCGGAUGUGAAAUCCCACGGCUCAACCGUGGAAGUGCAUUCGAAACUGCCGUGCUCGAGUGUGGGAGAGGUGAGUGGAAUUCUCGGUGUAGCGGUGAAAUGCGUAGAUAUCGGGAGGAACACCUGUGGCGAAAGCGGCUCACUGGACCAUAACUGACGCUGAUGCACGAAAGCUGGGGGAGCAAACAGG